AUUGAACGCUGGCGGCAGGCCUAACACAUGCAAGUCGAACGAGUGGCGGAAGGGUGAGUAAUGUCUGGGAAACUGCCUGAUGGAGGGGGUUAGGUACUGGAAACGGUAGCUACUACCGCCUAGCAUAGGCUGUGCCCAGUUGGGAUUAGCUUGUUGGUGGGGUCACGGCUCACCAAGGCGACGAUCCCUAGCUGGUCUGAGAGGAUGACCAGCCACACUGGAACUGAGACACGGUCCAGACUCCUACGGGAGGCAGCAGUGGGGAAUAUUGCACAAUGGGCGCAAGCCUGAUACAGCCAUGCCGCGUGUAUGAAGAAGGCCCUAGGGUUGUAAAGUACUUUCAGUCGGGAGGCGUUACCGACAGAAGAAGCACCGGCUAACUCCGUGCCAGCCGCCGCGGUAAUUC
rnacentral:rRNA from 1 species